CCUACGGGAGGCAGCAGUAGGGAAUUUUGCGCAAUGGGCGAAAGCCUGACGCAGCAACGCCGCGUGAUCGAGACGCCCUUCGGGGUGUAAAGAUCUGUCAGUGGGGACGAAACUUGACGGUACCCGCAGGGGAAGCACCGUCUAACUCCGUGCCAGCAGCCGCGGUAAUAAGGGGGGUGCAAGCGUUGUCCGGAAUCAUUGGGCGUAAAGAGUUCGUAGGCGGCACGUAAAGUCUGGUGUUAAAGGCAGAGGCUCAACUUCUGUACGGCACUGGAUACUUGCGAGCUAGAAUGCGGUAGAGGUAAAGGGAAUUCGUGGUGUAGCGGUGAAAUGCGUAGAUAUCAGGAGGAACAGCGGGGGCGUAAGCGCUUUACUGGGCCGUAAUUGACGCUGAGGAACGAAAGCCAGGGUAGCAAAUGGGAUUAGAUACCCGAGUAGUC
rnacentral:rRNA from 1 species